AAGUGUUACGGCUCUUUUAGAAUCUGUCUAGCAGGCUCCCCCCUCCCUCGAUUUCUUAGCCCCC
rnacentral:snRNA from 1 species